rnacentral:rRNA from 1 species
CAGCCGCCGCGGGAAUACGUAGGUGGCAAGCGUUGUCCGGAAUUAUUGGGCGUAAAGGGCUCGCAGGCGGUUUCUUAAGUCUGAUGUGAAAGCCCCCGGCUCAACCGGGGAGGGUCAUUGGAAACUGGGAAACUUGAGUGCAGAGGAGGAGAGUGGAAUUCCACGUGUAGCGGUGAAAUGCGUAGAGAUGUGGAGGAACACCAGUGGCGAAGGCGACUCUCUGGUCUGUAACUGACGCUGAGGAGCGAAAGCGUGGGGAGCGAACAGGAUUAGAUACCCGAGUAGUCCCUGUCUCUUAUAC